rnacentral:snoRNA from 1 species
AUUGAUCAAGUGACGAGAAAUUCUCGGAUGUAAACACAUAUCUGUCUGAAUGCGCAAAACCAUGUUGAGAUUUCCGUUGCCUUCCUUCUGAUGAUCAA